GACUAAUCGAACCAUCUAGUAGCUGGUUCCCACCGAAGUUUCCCGCAGGAUAGCUGGAACUUUUACAGUUUUAUCAGGUAAAGCGAAUGAUUAGAGGCCUUUGGGACGAAAUGUUCUAAACCUAUUCUCAAACUUUAAAUAGGUAAGAAGCCUCGCUUGCUUAAGUGAAGCGGGGCACUGAAUGUGAGUUCCAUGUGGGCCAUUUUUGGUAAGCAGAACUGGCGAUGCGGGAUGAACCGAACGCGGGAGUUAAGGUGCCAAAAUCGACGCUCAUCAGACCCCAGAAAAGGUGUUGGUUGAUCUAGACAGCAGGACGGUGGCCAUGGAAGUCGGAACCCGCU
rnacentral:rRNA from 1 species